rnacentral:sRNA from 1 species
GUCAGUUGGCUAGCCACUGGGAUUCUUUUAAAGGUAGCUAGUAUGUAGAAGAACAAAGCCUGGGGCCCUGAGAUAAAUGGAAUGCCAUUUUUAUGCAUGGCAUCCAUUUUGAUUUCGCAGCUGUCCUUUUGAUGCUGAUUCUAGUAAUUCUGAAAAGCUUCAUUAAUAAGGGCACUUCAGGUCUUUUUGUGACUGAUGACUGAAGACCGAGAGAGGAGGAGGUUGGAG